rnacentral:lncRNA from 1 species
AUGUAUAGGGGGCCUAGGUCCAGGGCCUGCAUGGUGUUUGGUUGGUGAUUCAGUCUCUGUGAGUCCCCAUGGACCCAGGUUAGUUGACUCUGUAGGUCUUCUUGUGGCAUCCUUUCCACCUCUGGGUUGCUCAAUUCUAACCCCCAUUCUUCUACAAGACUCCCUGAGCUCUGCCUGAUAUUUGACAUUUAUUUAUUUUGUGUUCACGCAUACAUGCUCUUGUGGAGGUCAGAGGACAACUUGUGGGAAUUGGCUCGCUCCCUCCACCAUGUGGGUCCCAGUAAUUGAACACAAGUCACUAGCUUAGCUGCAAGUAUCUUUACCUGCUCAGCCCUAGACUGAGCAUAUAUAUAUUUUUUUCAGGACAUUGGUGAAGUCUGCCAAAUCCAUGGAGUUCUUAAGGGUAUUUGGUGACUUACUGAAUUAAAGAAUAUGUUUCAACUUGGGAAACCAGUGAAGGAAGGCUCAUUAUUUCUGAAGAAUGUUAGUGUACCAAGGUCAGUUCCUGCUGGUUAGAAGGAAAACCUAGUCACAGGCUCAUGUCCUCAUACCCCAUGCCCUUUGAGGAUUAUUGUAACUGGAAGCUAAAGAGAAAGCUGGCCAUUUACACAGAAAAAAACCGAUCUGAAUAAAACCCAAAGAAGCAUGCUUUGUUCUGAAAGUGCUGCAGGGGAAUUCACAUUUAAUCAAAAUUGAAGACCACAGCAUUUGCAUGAGAAUUCUUGCAUCUUAUCUCAUUUUAGUGAUUUCCUGUUAAUUAGUUGAUGCUCCACAGAAAUCCUGAAAUGCCCAAAUAAUAGGGUAACAGAAAUAAAGCUGGGGUGUCAUGACGGCUUAAGGCAGAAUUAAGUUUUUUGUUUCCCUGGUUUGGGGCAAUUUUGCUAACAAGUAACCUGUAACCUACUUCUGAAGGCUAUGAGGACAUAAUUAUUUGGUUAAUUUUCAUACUUCAGUGUAUAAUCCUAAUUAGUUCUCAAACUGGUGUUCCCUAGGCUAUGUAGAGCCCUGCCUCAGCAUGUUUGGGAUUCUUGCUAUUUGGAAUCUCUUGUUUUCAUGGAAGAGAUGAAAAACUUCAUGCAUAUCUCCUAUUGCUGUUUUUGUACCUUGUCACAUGUUCUUGCUAGGAGAGUUAGACUAUCCUGUGACUUAGAGCUCCAGAGGGAACUCUGUGAAGUGCCUGUUACUUUAAGAGCAAUAGUUUCUACUGGCAUCGUGAAUGUAUUACAAAUAUUAUGAACAUAAUCUGGGCAUUGUUGGUUUGCCCCUUAAGUAGGAACUGGAACAGUGAUGAAGUGUGAAGGGUUUGACCCUGGGAGUGCCAAUUCCAGUCACUUACUGGGAAAAAUCCUUUUCUAAAAAAAUUACUUUUUUUCUUAAGUUAUGUGUGUGCACUUUGUUCUCAUGUAUGUCGGUGCAUUGCAUGAAUGACCAGUGCUCACAGAGUUCCAGACGAGGGCAUCCGAUCCUCUGGAAUUGGAAUUAUAGAUGCUGGUUGUGAGGGGCCAUGUGGGUGCUGGCAAUCAAACCUGGGGCCUCUAGAAAAGGAGCCAAUGUUCUUAACUGUCCUAAACUCCAUAUUCUUAUUCCAAAUUCUCUCAAGCUCCAAAGUUUUGAUCACAUGUAUAUAUGGGUAUAUGUUGGUGGCUAUGUGCAUAUGAGUAUGUGUGCCUGCAGAGACUGGAUGAGGGUGCUCAAUCCCCUGAAGGAGCUAGUUACAGGCAGAUAUAGGCCAUCCAAAGUGGGUGGAUGUUGGGACUGAAUGCCAGUCCUCUGCAAGAGCAGCAAGUUCUCUUAAUGGCUGAGCCAUCUCUCUAGGAAAAAUUCUUUUUUUUUUUUUGUCACACAUCUGCCUUUAUUGUAAACAGCAGGUGGGACACAUAGCAAUGGUAAAAAGUUAAUUUACAAAAGCAGAGACUUGGUGAGCUACCUGGUAGGAAUCCUUGGAGACUCAUACGUAGAUGCCAACCCAGAGAAGGUGGAAGAGGACUCCAAAGCCCAUGAAGAGUGAGGCCACCAAGGAGAUGAGGAGCUCUUUGUAAAUAUCGUGUGUGUACUUGGUAGAGGUGACUUCCUAAAUGAAGAACCAGGCAGUGAAGAACACGCUGAUGGCCAGAAGUACCAUAGUCAGGCGAGAGAAGACAGCUGGGUUCACUGGGCUGGUAUACCUACUCAGGGCUUCAAGCUCCAUUUUUCCCCUCACAGGAUAAACCACCGAUCUGCACCUGAAGAACAUGUCAGCCUAGGAAAAGUCCUUAUUGUGAGCUUGCAUUGUUGAUAAAAAUUAACUAACCUUGAAUAACACACCUAAUACUGUCUGUAUUAGUGGUGCUCAGUAGAAAUAUGAGGACCACAUACUUUGGGCAUUUGUAGUAUGUAUGUGCUUGUAUGUAGGUGCACAUGUGCAUGUAAGUGCAUGUGGGGGCCACUGGUUGAUGCUGGGUGCAUCCCUCUAUUGCUCUCAAGCUAAUUUUUGAGACAAGGCCUCUCACUGAUUUCAGAGCUCACUGAUUGACUAGACAGGCUGACCAGUGAGCUCUGGAGCUCCGCUUGGCUCUGCCAUCCCUCCCAAGCCCGUCCUCACAUACCAAGUUCUACAGCUAUAGGCAGGAGCAACUGUGCCCAGCUUUUAUGUGGGUACUCAAGAUGUGAACUGGAGGCCUGAUGCUCCUUCAGUGGGCACGUUACAGACUGAACCAUCGCCCCAGCUCCUACAUACGGAUGGCAUUUAAAGGUUUUGUUGUAUUCUCAGUUGCAAAGUGAAAUUAACUAUGUACUUUAUUUAGCCCAACAUAGGUGAAGUUAUUGUAAUUGCAUUAGAAAUUACUGCAUUCUUCCCAUUAAAAUUAUUGUAAAACUUUG